rnacentral:tRNA from 1 species
GUGGUAUUAAUCCUUCAUUUAUACCCAUUUUGGUUGAAAUUACUUUAUUUGAUUUUUUUAA